UACGAAGGGGGCUAGCGUUGCUCGGAAUCACUGGGCGUAAAGCGCACGUAGGCGGAUCUUUAAGUCAGGGGUGAAAUCCCAAGGCUCAACCUUGGAACUGCCUUUGAUACUGGGGAUCUCGAGUCCGGAAGAGGUGAGUGGAACUGCGAGUGUAGAGGUGAAAUUCGUAGAUAUUCGCAAGAACACCAGUGGCGAAGGCGGCUCACUGGUCCGGUACUGACGCUGAGGUGCGGAAAGCGUGGGGAGCAAACAGGG
rnacentral:rRNA from 1 species